rnacentral:rRNA from 1 species
GCAGUCGAGCGAAUGGAUUAAGAGCUUGCUCUUAUGAAGUUAGCGGCGGACGGGUGAGUAACACGUGGGUAACCUGCCCAUAAGACUGGGAUAACUCCGGGAAACCGGGGCUAAUACCGGAUAACAUUUUGAACUGCAUGGUUCGAAAUUGAAAGGCGGCUUCGGCUGUCACUUAUGGAUGGACCCGCGUCGCAUUAGCUAGUUGGUGAGGUAACGGCUCACCAAGGCAACGAUGCGUAGCCGACCUGAGAGGGUGAUCGGCCACACUGGGACUGAGACACGGCCCAGACUCCUACGGGAGGCAGCAGUAGGGAAUCUUCCGCAAUGGACGAAAGUCUGACGGAGCAACGCCGCGUGAGUGAUGAAGGCUUUCGGGUCGUAAAACUCUGUUGUUAGGGAAGAACAAGUGCUAGUUGAAUAAGCUGGCACCUUGACGGUACCUAACCAGAAAGCCACGGCUAACUACGUGCCAGCAGCCGCGGUAAUACGUAGGUGGCAAGCGUUAUCCGGAAUUAUUGGGCGUAAAGCGCGCGCAGGUGGUUUCUUAAGUCUGAUGGGAAGGCCCACGGCUCAACCGUGGAGGGUCAUUGGAAACUGGGAGACUUGAGUGCAGAAGAGGAAAGUGGAAUUCCAUGUGUAGCGGUGAAAAGCAUACAAAUAUGAAGGAAC